GUGCUCACUUUGGAAGCACAUAUACUAAUAUUGGAAUGACACAGAGAAGAUUAGCAUGGUCCCUGUGCAAGGAUGACAAGCAAAUUCAUGAAACAUUCCAUAUUUUU
ensembl:snRNA U6 U6 spliceosomal RNA